rnacentral:rRNA from 1 species
AACGAGCGAAAGCUUUGCUAAUACCGCAUACGAUCUACGGAUGAAAGCAGGGGACCGCAAGGCCUUGCGCUCAUGGAGCGGCCGAUGGCAGAUUAGGUAGUUGGUGGGAUAAAAGCUUACCAAGCCGACGAUCUGUAGCUGGUCUGAGAGGACGACCAGCCACACUGGGACUGAGACACGGCCCAGACUCCUACGGGAGGCAGCAGUGGGGAAUAUUGGGCAAUGGGCGCAAGCCUGACCCAGCAACGCCGCGUGAAGGAAGAAGGCUUUCGGGUUGUAAACUUCUUUUGUCAGGGACGAAGCAAG